rnacentral:rRNA from 1 species
CGAGCACGCGCGUGUGGCAUAUCAAUAAGCGGAGGAAAAGAAACUAACAAGGAUUCCCUUAGUAACGGCGAGUGAAGCGGGAAGAGCUCAAAUUUGAAAUCUUCAAGGUUUUACCUUGACGAAUUGUAGUUUAAAGAAGUGUUUUCUGUUGGAGUUUUGGUAAAAGUUCUUUGGAAUAGGACAUCAUAGAGGGUGAGAAUCCCGUAUUUGACCAUUAUUUCCAGCUGUGUGAUACACUUUCAAAGAGUCGGAUUGUUUGGGAAUGCAGUCCAAAAUGGGUGGUAAAUUUCAUCUAAAGCUAAAUAUUGGCGAGAGACCGAUAGCGAACAAGUACCGUGAGGGAAAGAUGAAAAGAACUUUGAAAAGAGAGUUAAACAGUACGUGAAAUUGUCAAAAGGGAAGCGCUUGACACCAGUGUUGUUUUUCCGAAAAUCAAUUACGAAUGUUUUGUUUUUGAGGAGUUAUGACUUCAUCGGCUUGCUCCUUUCUUUAUGAAACUUUCUUAAUGCACUUUUCGGUUAACAAGUCAACAUCAAUUUCUUUGUUGUAAAAGGGUAUGAGGAAGGUGGCUUUCUUUUCGGAGAAAGUGUUUAUAGCCUUGUGCCUCUGCAAUCGGAGAGAUUGAGGUCUGCAGCGUAGAUCCUUCGGGGUUAGAUACAUUGGUGCUAAGUUAUAGCUUUUCAUAGACAACUUGUUGACUAUGUUUAGUCUUGUAGCUUACUCGCUGAUGCUAUUUUACCUACGCUUAGGAUGUUGAGUAGCGACAUACGCAC